AGGAAUUUCAUGUUUUAAUCUGUAAACUUGUAGACCUAUUGAGAAAGUUGAUCGUGUCCUAAAUAUCCUUGAAACCUCUGUAUAUGUUGAGUCGUUGAUAUAUAGAUUUGCCUUUCUUGGAAUAUUGCUCUGCCCUAAACUUAGACCUUUGUAAUAUGCUUAUGGUGCUCACCUGUAUGUGUUUCAGAAUCAUAUAUUUAGAAUUCAUAUGAUUUAUGUUUGUUUGGUAAUCCAGUAUAGACUAUAUGUUCUUAUGUUAGGAGGGAAAGUAUAUAUUUAUGGUAGGCAAUGCUAUAGCAUUUAGUAUGCAUUGAAAGUGCCUCAUUGACAUUUAAACCCACAAGUAAAACAUGUUGUUAGUGUUUCAGGAUAUUUGGGAGUGGAGUUCGACUCUAGGUUGGGAUGUCCUCCCUGGCACAAGCAUUGCCCUGGGCCUUGAGUCCCUUGGUAACUUUGACAUGUCGGGGGAUUCAAAGGGAAGCCUUGAGUGGAAUUUCCUCCUUAGCUCUUAAUUCAUCGACACAUUUAGUCCUUUAGGGGUUUAAUGUUUAAUGACAACAAAAGAUUUUCAAGGAGCAUUAUUCUCUAAGUAGAACCACCACAUAUAUAUCAUUUCUAUAGUAUUAAUUAUUCUUUGUUUCAAUUAUUUACCUAUAUAUCUGUCUUGUAUAUUUGAAUAUGUUGAUAAUAUGGGAAUACUUCUAAUGGACUUCUUUUUACUUUUUUGGGCAUGUAUACAUUUGGGCCUAUCGAAUUCCUAAGGAACUCAGGCCCAAACCAGCUUUGCUGCGUCUUUGGAGAGUCCAGUCUGCUGUAGCCACACCUCUCAAGUUGCUGGGCCUACCUUAUUAAGGCCCAAUUGUUAGAACAAUUUUUCGAUCGCGCGACUGUGGUAAAACUACAAAAGGAAAAGGUAAAUCUUCUAGGUGUCGAGGCAGAAGUACCUUUCCCCUUGAUUGACGAAAAACCAUCAGGAAAAAAACUACUGCAGUCAGAGGGAGGGGUGCAAACCUCUUUGAGUCUAGCUCUUAUGUGCCGUCUAGGGAGGCUUUUAAGGGAAACUCCGCUUCUAUUUCGAAAGAGUAGGAAGUUACACAGUCUAGGACGCAGGGGCAAUUUUAGUUCAUAGAUAAGGCAUCUUAAUCUCAUAGCACUUCCGAGGGUUCGGAAAAUGCCAACCAGACUUCUGAGCCAGCAGCGGCUCCAGACACAGAUGCACAAACUGUAUGGUAUAUUCUUAAUGAUGGCAGAGGGGGAGAGGGUACAUCCACUAGUGUGGGGAGAUCAAAGAAGAAUGAUAUAUAAGAGGAUAGAUUUGUUAGCUUGGCUGCCUUCACUAACUUCUGAAUAUGGUGGCCCAUGUGAUCUUUGACCCUUGAGAGGCAGUUUCUAUUGAAGGAUCUCGAGAUAUACAAACAGGAGUUCUGAUACAGUUUAGAGCGAGGAACGGUUUGAUGUUUUUUGCUGAGAGACUGGUUGAUGCCAAAGAGUACCUUGUCUGCGAGUUCUAUGCCAACAUUUAUCACAUCAAGAAGGGGAAAAAGGUGACCAAAGUACGCAACCUCAAGGUGAGGUUUGAUUAGCACACGCUAAAUGCAUACUUGGGGUUUAAGGACUUGGAGCCUAGAGAAUACUUAGAGAAGUGUGCGAUUAAAUAAACAUUUAAUGUGUAUUUGGCUUUUUUUGUAUUUUUCUUGAAAGCUGCCAACUCGUGAAAUAGUGUUCAAAAAAACAGUGAUUUGCUAGAGGGAUAAUUUAUAAUUGAUUUGAAUCAUUUUCAAUAAA